GAAGCUCAGUGGUAGAGCAUUUGCUUUGCAUGCGGAAGUCCCAGGUUCAAUUCCUGGAAUCCACA